UAUUGGGCUAGGUGGACGGGAAGGCGUGGGUGAGGGCCUAAGAACAAUAUUAAGCUCCAAGCCUCCAUCAGUCCAGUCCUUUUCCAAUUCGGUUUGCCCACUCGAAUUAUCGUGAAAAGGGAACAAAGAGAAGCAAAGCCAGAGGGUUUCGUGAUUGGGUUUUCAGGAGGAACAAAUCAGAAGGAUUGAAAGGCGGUUAUAAAAGUUUGUUAUUUCAGAUUGCCAAGAUGCCGUUGCUUGCUAAUAUGAUUUUGUUUCCGGUGGGUGUUGCUGCUUGUGUGGGUGCCGGUGUUCUAGUUGGUAUGGGGAAAAGUAGAUUCGAGGAUUGGUACAUGGAACGGUUUGUCUUAGAACGAAUUAAUGCCUCCCGGGCGAGAGAAGAUAACAAAGGCUAGAAUGGCAUGCGCACCCAAAGGAUCUACCGGAUAAUCUAAUGACAAAAUAUAAUGUUGAGCAGUACUACAAUGCAUGGGUGUCUCUGUUAAAAUUGCUUGCUAAUUCAGCUUUAGGUUGAAAGUUUGUGAGAGAGACUAAUAUUUGGAAAUUUAUUAAAUUAUAUAUAUUAAUGCAAUCAGCUUAAUGCUGAUCUCUUAUGUGAGGCCACUAGUUUGUCUCUUGUUUUUUUUUUUCUUUUUCUUUUUCCGAAGGUAAGUUUCAUUAAUUAAAAUAGAUACAAGAUUUACAAAGCUUUUAGCGCACGAACCAUGGACAAGUCCAAUACAAAAUAAUCCAAAUAAACAAAAGGAGGAACAUAGGCCUAAGCCAAUCAGUAUAGACCAAAGACGAUGUUAUUCUAGGAAACCCAAGAAUAUUCGUGUCUAAGGUAUAUAACAUCUGGUGAAAUACAGGCUUGCCCACAACCCUAAUUGACGCGAUUAGGAGGUUCUGGCGGUGGUGGAUGAACGACGCAAGUCCCAAUCUAAUUUCAGUCUUUUUGCAGGAGGUGAGUCUUUGACAGUUAGAGUAAGCAAUUUUUGCCUAAUCAUCUCAUCAGUGAUUUGCCUAAAGAUCACAUUCUGUGAACAUCUUUGAUGGUUGAAGAUCCGGUUGUUAAGUUUAUGCCAAAUUUUGUUGAUGGUGGUGGAGUGCAUGAGCUUGUUCACCGAAGAUCUCAGAUAUCUUCUUGACCAAUGGGUUGAUGCCCGUUCCAACCAACUCGUUCCAAGAUGAAGGGGAAAAGUGAAAUCUACACUCGUGUUGAAGAGAAAUCUAUGAGAAGAACAAAUGGUUGUGAGACUCAUCAACCAAAUUACAAAGAUGACAGACUCUGGAGCCCUGGAAAGACCUCAUACAACUUCGAUUGAGUGUGGGUAGCCUAUUCUGCAUUGCAAGCCAGAGGGAAAAUUUGCAUCUUGGGACAGAGAGUGUGCUCCAAAUCAGGUAACGGAGUCCACA